GGUGCCUGUGCCUGAAGCAGUUUCCUCCGCCCCCUCCCCAUCUGCCUGCAUUCACGCCUCGGGGGAUGGGAGAGGUGAGUGUGCUCUGUUGGAAGCUGGUAACCAGGCAGGUGGAGCCGGGUAAAAUGGCCAGAAGUGGAGGGGGCUUAUUGGUCCCAGUGAACUUUGUUCUCUUGUGCAGACAGUAGGCAGCUGGCCAGUAUAUACUCAGAUUCACUCGUGUAAACUAAAAGUGCAAGUGUGAGCUUUGACCAGAUGGAGCCUGACAUUUGGCUCUUCUCCAAGAUGGGAGAAAAGCUGUGGACGCCUACAAAGAACAGGGGGGUUUUAGGGGUUGAGCAGUUUUCCCAUUCCAGACCGAUUUCUGCUUUUUUUCCUCAGUCAAAGCUAAGGCUGUGAGAAUGACCCAUUUGAUGGAAUGACUGAUAGAGAAUUCCCACAGGGUUAUCACCAAGCGGGUGUGUCCAAAUUGCCAGCUGGGCCACUUGCUUACCUGUUCAAGCUUCCCUGCCUCUUUUUACCAUCCGCUCUCUGCUGCGAGGGGGAGCGCAGGCAGAGUGAUUCUGACCUGCUGCACGGAAGUCUUGUUCUUUUCUUGAAGAUUUCACUGCAUUUUCUCUUGGAAGAGUUUACUGAUUCCUCCAACCAUUCCAUCCACCCUCCAUGCUCCAGUGAGGUAACUGUCCUCCACUUUACUGAAGUCAAUGAAUUCCUUGUCUUUGCUUCACUGUUAUUCCUGAAAUCAAGGAGGGGGUUUUGUCAGUCUCCCUUCUUUGCCGAUGGCAUUCUGUACAGAUUUACUGAUGGGGUAAAUAGUGAGCUUUCAAUUUCUCUGUGUGGCUCCUGUUUUCAAACGCAGUCUCUAAGUUUGGGAAAGUGGAUAACCAGACCAGAAUGUGUGGUCUGUAGGACAGCAGUAUCUUCUUGCUGAAGUGCUUGCGUCACAAGCCGCUGGUCCCAGCAGUGCCUUACGGAGUCAAAGGUGAAGGUACCUAAUUGCAAAGAAUGCAAAAUGCUUCUCUUCUGUCUUAAUGGUGAAAUAUUUCUUUUUCAGAGCACCUCACGUGUGUGAAUGCUUAGCUUCCCCUAGUGUCUGGAAUUAACGGUUAUGCUCUUUGUAUUGGCUGCUCCAUGACGGGCUUUUUCUUAUCCAUCCUGGAUCCCCAGGUUGUGUCCCAGUGAUCCCACGGUGGGAGAUGCACAUUUUGCUGAAUCCGGAAAAAUGCAGCGCCCUUGUCUCCUCCCUGGUGGUGCUUCAGAAUUACCUGGUGUGAUUUUUCCAAAUACAGAUGGAACUCUGCAUGCCACAUAACAGACAGAGGGGUUUCUAUACAUUAAGUCGGAAACUGAAGAGGAUCUUAAACUUUCCCUGUUUUCAAGCUAACAAGUUAGCCUACCACAGUUCCAUGUACAUUUUAUGAAAAGACUUCCCUGGGGGUCCAGCGGCUAAGACUCUGCACUCACAAUGCAAGGGCCCGGGUUUGCUCCCUGGUCGGGAAGUAGAUUCCACAUGCUGCAACUAAGAGUUUGCAUGCUGCAACUAAGAUUCAGCAUAGCCAGAUAAAUAAGUAAAAUACUUAAAAAGACACAAGACCUCUAGGUUAGAGAUAAUGGUCUACCACUCAGCAAAAACAGUGGCCAGAGCAGCAUCUUGCAUUGGGUCCCAUCCCCCACCCCCAACAGAGUGACAUGGUGAGGGCCAGACGGUCCCAGCGCUUGCAGUGGGGUGCACUACAGCAUUAGGAGCUUACAAGGCUACUAACAUAUCUGCCCAUCCUUCCCUCUGGAUAAGCACAUUACUUACAUACCUGGAAUGCAGGCAAGUCUGCAGGAAAUGGGAAGAUAUCUCUAGUUUAAGGUAUCUCUGAGGAGCUACAUCUCCAAAUCUCUUCAGAGGGAUACCCUGUCUCUACAUUCCAAGGAUGUCUAUUAUUUAAACAUAUUCCUUGCAAAUUUGAAGAUGAUUCAGAGAAGUGGAAAGCUAUCUCAUGCUCUUGGAGACUGGAAGAAUUAAUUGUGUUAAAAUGGUCAUCCUACCCAAAGUAAUCUACAGAUUUAAUGUGAUCUCUAUCAAAUUACAUGACAUUUUUCACAGAACUAGAAUGUAUAAUCCUAAAAUUUAUAGAGAACCAUAAAAGGCCCAGACUUGCCAAAGUAAUCAUGAGCAAAAGGAACACAGCUGGAGGCAUAACCCUCCUAGACAAUAUUACAAAGCGACAGUAAUCAAAACAGCAUUGAACUGGUACAAAAACAGACAUAUGGCUCAAUGGAACAGAAUUAGAAACAAAAACAAUAAGCCCACACACCCAUGGUCAGUUAAUCUCCAACAAAGGAGGCAAGAAUAUACAAUGGAGAAAAGACAGUCUCAUCAGCGAGUCGUGCUCAGAAAGCUGGACAGCCUCAUGUAAAUCAGUGAAGUUAGAACACUCUCUCACAUGAUACACAAAAAUAAACUCAAAAUGGCUUAAAGACUUAAAUAUAAG
ensembl:lncRNA